UGCGUAGGUGGUUUCUUAAGUCAGAGGUGAAAGGCUACGGCUCAACCGUAGUAAGCCUUUGAAACUGGGAAACUUGAGUGCAGGAGAGGAGAGUGGAAUUCCUAGUGUAGCGGUGAAAUGCGUAGAUAUUAGGAGGAACACCAGUUGCGAAGGCGGCUCUCUGGACUGUAACUGACACUGAGGCACGAAAGCGUGGGAAGCGAACA
rnacentral:rRNA from 1 species